GCACGUAUAGUUCAGUGGUAGAGCACAUGCUUAGCAUGCAAGAAGUCCUAGGUUCAAUCCCCAGUACCGCCA
rnacentral:tRNA from 1 species